AUUGAACGCUGGCGGCAGGCUUAACACAUGCAAGUCGAGCGGAGUGAUGGUGCUUGCACUAUCACUUAGCGGCGGACGGGUGAGUAAUGCUUAGGAAUCUGCCUAUUAGUGGGGGACAACAUCUCGAAAGGGAUGCUAAUACCGCAUACGUCCUACGGGAGAAAGCAGGGGAUCACUUGUGACCUUGCGCUAAUAGAUGAGCCUAAGUCGGAUUAGCUAGUUGGUGGGGUAAAGGCCUACCAAGGCGACGAUCUGUAGCAGGUCUGAGAGGAUGAUACACCACACUGGGACUGGAGGACGGCCCAGACGCCUAGGGGAGGCAGCAGUGGGGAAUAUUGGACAAUGGGGGGAACCCUGAUCCAGCCAUGCCGCGUGUGUGAAGAAGGCCUUAUGGUUGUAAAGCACUUUAAGCGAGGAGGAGGCUUACCUAGUUAAUACCUGGGAUAAGUGGACGUUACUCGCAGAAUAAGCACCGGCUAACUCUGUGCCAGCCGCCGCCGUAA
rnacentral:rRNA from 1 species